UACGGGGGGAGCAAGCGUUGUUCGGAUUUACUGGGCGUAAAGCGCACGUAGGCGGUCUGUUAAGUCGGAUGUGAAAUCCCUCGGCUCAACCGAGGAAGUGCAUUCGAAACUGGCAGACUUGAAUAUGGAAGAGGGUCGCGGAAUUCCCGGUGUAGAGGUGAAAUUCGUAGAUAUCGGGAGGAACACCAGUGGCGAAGGCGGCGACCUGGGCCAAUAUUGACGCUGAGGUGCGAAAGCGUGGGGAGCAAACAGG
rnacentral:rRNA from 1 species